GGUGAGAUGGCCGAGUGGUCUAAGGCGCUAGAUUUAGGAUUGGACUUCGGUCCUUGAUUCUCUCUAGUCAUUCGUGGCGUGGGUUCAAAUCCCACUCUCAUCA